rnacentral:lncRNA from 1 species
AUGAACUUUUGCUCUCCAGUCAAGCAGAGAAAGAGUUACUGGGCUUCAGUGGCAGCCAAAGUUCAGAGGAUCAUGUGGCAAAAAGUUGUUUAUAGAUAUGACAUAAGGUGAUAGUGUGAAGAAAAUGUUGGUUUCCGUAUUAUUUUAUAUCCAAUUUCAUCUAUCAGGUUCACCAUUAUUUAGAUCAUUCUAUUAGGCAAUCAGCCUUGAAGACAUGAGAGAGGCAAAGAUUUAUGGUAG